CGAAUAGGCAACAUGAAUGACAUUGAGCUUGUAGACGCCGGCAUCGCAUUUUGAGGGGCAAGGGGUGGCUAGUAGCACACUGCGCAGAUGCAGCCUGUGGCUGUGGGCUCCAGAUUUUUCCCGGUCUUUUACUGACAUAUGUCAAUGUUAUGCGAUGCAGUGUGAUGUUUUGGAAUAAAAGAUGUUUCACGGCUUUAAUUCUCGCAAGUGACCGUGGAAUUUAUGUGAAAGGACUGAGGCUUGCGCUUGAAGCAGGGGCAACACCAUUGCAAAACAUCACUUCGUACUUCGAAGUAUUUGGAAUGAACUCAAUGUGAGUACCUUUUACUUUAAAAUAACCUGGAGGAAAUGGAAACCCUUGAAUGGAUCUGGUACUCCCAUUUGACGUCUAGAAGUACUAUGGUGGAAGGUUUGUGUUUUUGUUAAUUUUUUGUUUAUAACAGAAUUGUUUUUUUUUAUUUUAUUGUUAAUUUUUGAAUUGUACAUUAGUCUUUUAAUGUUUAAUAUACUUCGUUUGUAAAAU